GCGACAUCCUAAUAUCAUACCCAUUCGGUCACGUGUUAAGUGCAAAAGUCGUCAGCACAUAUACGAGAGGCGGGAAAGUGGGGAUUUUAAGUGUUUAAACACGAAUUUUUUUUUUUUUUUUAACAAAUUUUGUUUAGUUUGAUACCGAAGGAACAUUUCUACGCCUUUAACCGAUGCAGAAGAGGUCUUGUUAUUAAUGAACCGGGAAGAAAAUUUAGGCGUCUAGGGAAUAUCAUUGAAUCAAUUGAAUUGAACUU